UACGGAGGGUGCAAGCGUUAAUCGGAAUUACUGGGCGUAAAGCGCACGCAGGUGGCUGAGUCAGUCGAUUGUGAAAGCCCUGGGCUUAACCUGGGAAUUGCAGUCGAUACUACUCAGCUAGAGUAUGGGAGAGGGCAGUGGAAUUCCCGGUGUAGCGGUGAAAUGCGUAGAUAUUCGGCGGAACACCAGUGGCGAAGGCGACUCACUGGCCCGAUACUGACGCUGAGGCGCGAAAGCGUGGGGAGCAAACAGG
rnacentral:rRNA from 1 species